AGAAUGUAUGAUUAAAAGCUGCUAACUUUUACUAUAGCAAUUAAAUUUGUUAACAUUCUU
rnacentral:tRNA from 1 species